rnacentral:rRNA from 1 species
UGGGGAAUUUUCCGCAAUGGGCGAAAGCCUGACGGAGCAAUACCGCGUGAGGGAGGAAGGCUUUUGGGUUGUAAACCUCUUUUCUCAUGGAAGAAGUUAUGACCGUACUUGAGGAAUCAGCAUCGGUUAACUCCGUGCCAGCAGCCGCGGUAAUACGGAGGAUGCAAGCGUUAUCCGGUAUGAUUGGGCGUAAAGCGUCCGCAGGUGGUAGUGCAAGUCUACUGUUAAAGAGUGAAGCUUAACUUCAUAAUGCCGGUGGAAACUGCAUAACUAGAGUGCGUUCGGGGCAGAGGGAAUU